GAUUCAGGGAGGUGAAGGAGCUCAGUGGACGUAUGAAUGGAGAGCAGCCAAGUUAAACACACCUCCAACAUCCAAUGAACACAGAAUCAUCAGAGCUACUGAGUCUGACAGUGGAGGAUACAGCUGCCGGGGCAGAAGGGACUAUUUCUUCUCAGAGUGGAGUGAUAUCAUCACACUGACUGUAUCAUAUAAACCAAAGGCCAAACUGAGAGCUGAUAACACAGCUGUUCCAGUAGGGGGCAGUGUGACCCUGACCUGCUCUGUGAACCCAUCAUCAUCAUCUGGAUGGAAAUACUACUGGUACAGAGAUGAGAAAUCCUCUGAAGCCCUGACCACACAAGAUGCAGUUUUCCACUCAAAUGGACAAAUCAGUGUCUCACAGGAAGGACUCUACAGGUGCAGAGGAGGAAGAGGAAACCCAGUUUACUA